ensembl:lncRNA
CACAACUUCAUUGCCUGGUGAAGACACGUGGUAUAGUAUGCUCCUUGUAAUGCAUGACUCAGUUCAAAUUUUUAUGCUGCAUCCCUCAACUCUGGCAUCCAGAUGCUUGUAGGACGUGUCCAGGAACUAUCAACAUCUCUUUAGAUCAGUUGUCUGAAGGUACAUUUCUUCUGCUUAAUGUUGGCUGUGUCUCUCUGGGAAGGGCUGGUUUCCACUUAAGGGUCUCAUCAACUGCUAGAGCUCUUCCCCAAGUGAUCAACAUUGACCAAGAGAUUGACCUAUGUGGUAGGAUGCUGCGUUUAGCAAUGGGGAGUGGGGAAGAAGCCAGGUUUGGGGAACAGGACAGUGUGCAACUUGUCUAGAAGUUCCAGGCAGAACUGAUUCAUUAUCUUUUCUUUCACAGUCAUGUCUGGUGGAAAAAGGCUGGAUUUGGCUGCUUGGAGACUGAUUGCAGUGCUCACAAGGUCCUGAAGAAGCAAAUGCCUGGCAAAGCUCUAUUGAGGAGAAUUAAGGAAGAGCUCUUGGACAAAGUGGGCAGGCCUGUGGAACUUCCUUAGGGAGACCUGGGAAUAAUAAAGACUGGAGUAUGAGUUGGCUGAACCUCUUCUUUGGUGGUUAUUUGGUCAAACUCCCAAACUGGAGCCUCAGACAGCAGCUGAGGCAAUGAUUAACAUAGUGAUGGGUGGGAACAUAUCAAGAGGAUGGAAAGAAGCCACAUUUGCAAGAUCCUCUUGCAUCCUGCCAAGCAAUUGUACUUGCAUAUAUCCUUAGUGCUUUCAUUUUUCUUUAUGCCAUCUUAACAUUUAUUGAAUUUGGGAGACAGAGAUGGCAAAUAGUAACUACUUGCUGAUAGCUCUAUUUUGUGUCUUCAAGGAUUUGGUUGGGUUUUUUGUUUUGUUUUAUGGCUUUUACAGCUUUGUCUCUUCUCUCCCUAAACCUGGAAGAACAGCAAGGCACAAUUCCCCCUGACCCAGGAUGCCUGAAGAACAGUAGCAUGAGCAACCUCAGAAGACUCUGUCUGCAGGGAAGAAAGAAUGAGGAAGGGACCACAGCUAAACAGACAGUGCCUUCAGGAAAGAGAAGCUGCUUGGGAAACAAUCUGCAGUCCUUCUAGGAAGAAAAUUCCCUAGCAUAAAGGGAGGUGGACUGGUGAUGCUGGUGGUGGUGAUGCCAGUGGUGGAGGAAGGAUGUUGGUGAGCUACUGCGAAGGAGAGAGCAUGGGUUUGAAGCAUGUGGAGAGAGAGCAGAGGUUGGUUGGUGUGUGUUGCUGUAAGCCUGUGUGCAUCCUAGAGGUAAGCACGGAUGGUUUCUUGGACCUCUCCAUCUCCAUCCGCCAGCCUGCAGAUCAGAACUGGUCUGGAGGGCUUUUCACUGCUGACACAAAGUGCGUUGGAGGCAAGAUGACGAUGCUGGAGAAGUUAAACCCAUGUCUGUCCCUGUGGACCCACCAUUGUGCGGGCAGCCAGCUGAAGGCACCCUUGACCUAAGCUGAGGGAUUUAACAAAUGGAAGGUGAAUCAUCUGUUUCAUUAAAUCAGAGGCCGCUUCAAGCACUGCAGCCCAAUUAUGCCACAUGUUGCGCAUAGCCUGAAAAGAAUAUUGGUGCAGAAAUAGGAUCCAUAUGGGCAGGUCCUUACUGGGGAGCACAUCCUGCUGAAGAAUGGCCUUGGGUAUCUGCCUGCGUGGAUCAGCUUAACAGGAUUCAGGCCUUAACUCUUAAUUUAUAGUGUUGAGCAACUCUCAAGAAGAGGGAAUGAUCUGUAGGAGGUACAGCAUGAAGUGGACGGAGCAGUGACAUACAUUUCCCCUCCAAGGAGCAAGGCUUGCUGCCUUUGCUUUGGUGUAAGGCUGCAUGCUCCAGGAAUAAGCAAGAAUAUCAAGGUCUGGCCUGGAUUCCUCCCUUGAGGAAGGAGACAGAUGAUAUCAUUGUUGGAGUUGUUUGGACAUCACAAAGGCAGGACAAAAGAACGAGAGCCCAAAUGCAGCCAGCCAGCUGAGAGCACACUGCUGCUCCUGCAAAGCUCUUCAAGGAGAAAUGCUGACACAGCCAUUUCCGGCACUAUUUGCUGCUGCAAGGAAUACUUAAGACAGCAUUCAACACCAUCACCCUCUGUGGAAGGGAGCUUGAAAGCAGUGUCAGGAUGGGCGUUCACAGUUCAAGACACUGAAAAGCACAGAUUUCCAAGAUCUUGGUCUAGGAAGAAAAUUCAACAUCUGGAAAAGCAAAGAUCAAGAAGGAAAAUGAUAUGUUAAGGAACACGAUGGCAGCAACAGCUUCUCAGUAGGAAUGCAAUGGGCACAUUAGCUUUGCUUCCCACACAGGUGAGAUCCAAGGUAAACACGAAGUGAUUGUGUGUGCAGAUUUCCUGGAGUCUUUGAAAUGAGUGCGUUUCAGAGCAGGGUUUCCAGAUGCUGCAAUUAAAUCUUGAAAGGUUCUCUAAAACAUUGAUGAAUCUUUACAAGGGAAUGCAAAUCAGCACAGCUAAGUGGGAAAGUGGAACUUUUUUUUUUUGUGUGCUCUCAGCACUUUGCUGUGCUUGUUUCUAAUACAUAAGAGCAACGUUCAUGCUGAUCGUGUGAUAUUAUUUCACUGUCACUUCUUAAUACCCGAUUAAGCUCAAACAUUUGGCUAUUCUUGACCACACAAACUCAUGCUGCAGUGGAGGGAGUUAUUAAAAUGAAGCCCUCAUUGUGUUACAUAGGACAGUUUAACCACUGCUUCUAGAAAGUUAUCAAAAGGACACGUCUUGCAGUAAGCUUGAAAAUACUCCAAGUACUGAAGGACAAGGAGGCAGCGCUGUGUUCAGUAGACACCUUUCUGGCUCUAUCUUGGAUUUGUUUGCAGACUUAAUGGGAUAAAUUAUGCCCAUCUUCCAUCGUGGAUGAAGAGUUCCUGGUGCAUCCCCGCGUUCUUCACAGUGUGUCGUUUCAUUGCUGUCUUCACACGAGAUCAGGACAAGAAAUGGGAGCAGAGGAUCCCUUUUUAUGGGAUGUGUGACUUUUUCCAUAGUGCACUCCAGCAGAGCUGCUUUGAUCCUGCCUACCAGAAAGAUGACCCGCAGAUCUUAAAAGCUGUUUGCUCAGGUGUGUCCCCUUUUGAUUCCACGAAAUGCUUCAUUUCUCAGUCUUUCUUCUUUAUUUAAGGAGAGAGAUUAUGCAAGUGAAUUUCCACAACGGGUUUUAUUUGGCUCCGAGUACUUUAUUGACUUGAUUGCGGUGCUGCUGAUACUUUUCCUUCAAUGGGGCAGUUGUGACAGGUUGGAGCACCUAAUUCGUGCAUGCAGACUGACCAGAAAAUGAGGAAAAUGCAACAGCUGGAGAAAUCCAGCUCCUUCCAGGCUGAAUGGUUUCCUUCCGCAGAUUCCUCCAAGUCACAGCCCCUUCUUAUGGGGACACGGCUCGAUGAGAAAAUGUGUGCCCUGUGAAAUAAAAGGAUUAGGA